CGAGAGAGAUGUUUCCAUCAGCAGAAGUAGGGAUUAAAGCAUUAUUCUGUCACCUACUGUGUGCUAAGCCCAAGACCAGGUGCUAAAUCCCUAAGCGUGAGCCAGAGAAACAAGAUGAUAGAAUUUAUAAUCAGCAGAGCAGGAAUUCAAGAAAUCUUAAAAGAAGAUUUUCAAGCAAAAGAAAAAUAGUUCCAGAUACAGAGUUGAUC
rnacentral:lncRNA from 1 species